CUUAAGAAUUCAAGGCCCUCCAUCUCCAUGUGCUCAGUAAAGGGAAGGAGGCAUUUACUUAGUACACAGAGGAAAGGUGGUACAUAUUUGAUACACAGGGCAAACUGCCCUGUCUCCCAAAGGGAGGCUGUUUAAGCAUGUCCUGUUCUGUUUUUUUCCACUGGAAGUGCUGAUGAAACACUUACUAGCAUGCACUCGAAGAUGGUGUUCAUGUAUCCAGGACGCUCCAGGCUUUGACCCGUGAUGGUUGGCUAGGGUUCCUCUUCCUUUUCCUAUGCUGGGCUUCUCAGUCAGUUUCAUCACAAAAAGUGAAAGGUAGCUAGCAGCAACACAUUUUAGCACCAGAAGAAUUUCUAGAAAUUAUUGUCUAAGGGCUUUUAAUUUCCAGCCCAUAGUUGCCUUUGAUUCCUGUUAACAUCUAUGGACGCCUACUAAAGGAUUAGCCCGGAGCUGAGGACACGGAAAUGACUAAGUCCAAGCUUUCAGUGCCCUCCCACAUAAAUAACUGCUUAAGAUGAAUCCAGCCAUGGGAAGGGAUGUUAUCAGACUAUCCCAGCCUUUUUACAAUCUUGCUACACAAAGAAUGAUGAUCCCUGGCCCAGCACAUUGUGAUCAUCUGGGAGUAUGUAACAAAUGCCAAAAUUCUGGCCUUCCCUCCAAACUACUGAAUCAGAAUCUGCAUGUUUAUCAGAUCCCCGGGUGACACAGGAGGAAUGUUUGAGAAGCACUCUCUACAAGAUUCUAUCUGUUAAAUGUAUUUUUCAUCUUUGCAGUAAAUUUCAUCAAAACAAUU
rnacentral:lncRNA from 13 species